AUACAUUGAUUUUAUUCAUAUUUUAAAGUUUUUGCUGCUAUCUUAAAAAAAAUAUUGUGUGAAACAUUACAUUAGGUAGGUAGUUAGGACUUAAAAUUAUCGGGUAUGUCUUUACAAAAGUCAACUUCGUUUCGUUUUGUAAAUUAACUUUUGAAUUUUAAGAAUCUUUUUUAUCUGCUGCACAAAAUACUAUUAUCUUAUAUUUAUCUUUUUGAAUACUUCUUAUUUUAGCUCAGUCAAGUGGCACACACGGGCAUUGGAAAUAACUUAAAAACGUUUAUCCACAAAAAGCUGUCACAAAAAUUGAAGGGCAAAGCUGUAGAUUCUGAAGCAUUAAAG